ACUACGGGGGGCUGCAGUGAGGAAUAUUGGUCAAUGGGCGAGAGCCUGAACCAGCCAAGUCGCGUGAGGGAGUACUGCCCUAUGGGUUGUAAACCUCUUUUGUCGGGGAGCAAAAGACGGACGUGUCCGGCUGUGAGAGUACCCGAAGAAAAAGCAUCGGCUAACUCCGUGCAAGCAGCCGCGGUAAUACGGAGGAUGCGAGCGUUAUCCGGAUUUAUUGGGUUUAAAGGGUGCGCAGGCGGAUUUUUAAGUCAGCGGUCAAAUCGUGGGGCUCAACCCCAUCCAGCCGUUGAAACUGGGGAUCUAGAGUGUGCGAGAGGUAUGCGGAAUGCGUGGUGUAGCGGUGAAAUGCAUAGAUAUCACGCAGAACCCCGAUUGCGAAGGCAGCAUACCGGUGCACAACUGACGCUCAGGCACGAAAGCGUGGGUAUCGAACAGGAUUAGAUACCCUAGUAGUC
rnacentral:rRNA from 1 species